rnacentral:tRNA from 1 species
CAGGGAGACAACAAAAUGUUUAAUAUUAUUAUUUUGUCACCUUAGGUCGAUCGGUAUCUCACGUUCUUAAUUUAUUAAGAAUUUUAUUUCCUAAGUUUUUCUAGGUCACACCCAUUUAUUUUCCUGGGCCAUUAGCUCAGGUGGUUAGAGCGCACCCCUGAUAAGGGUGAGGUCCCUGGUUCAAGUCCAGGAUGGCCCAUAUCUCUAUGUUGGGGGUAUAGCUCAGUUGGUAGAGCGCCUGCUUUGCAAGCAGGAUGUCAGCGGUUCGAGUCCGCUUACCUCCACUGAUUACCACCUCUUCCAUAAUCUGUAGAAGGGAAAAUUUUUUGAGUUGUGAUCAUUAUUCUGAACGAAUCUAGCUUCCUAAUGAAACCAUUAAGAUGCUGGACUCAUUGAAUUAAUUUCAUUGUUUUCAGAGAACCUUGACAACUGCAUAGAUUAUUUUUAAAGACAAUAAGCAUCUUUAAUGAUGCAGAUUUAUUAUUUUUGCAAAUGCAUUAAUAACAAUUCUAUUAAGCUGAUGCUUCAAUUUUUGAAGUUAUU